CUAAGGAUUAGGAACUACACAUCGUAACUUUGUUCAGUUUUGAGAGAUUUAACUCUCAAGUUUGUUCAUUGAAAACUGGAUAAUUGAAUGAAUAUAUACCGAGAAAACACCGCGUUGAAUGAGUUUUUAAUAAAGUUCAACACUUAUUUUCUUAAAUAGGUGAUAAUAAUCGCUAAUAA
rnacentral:misc_RNA from 1 species